rnacentral:rRNA from 1 species
CCUACGGGAGGCAGCAGUGGGGAAUAUUGCACAAUGGGGGAAACCCUGAUGCAGCGACGCCGCGUGAGUGAAGAAGUAAUUCGUUAUGUAAAGCUCUAUCAGCAGGGAAGAAAAUGACGGCACCUGAGUAAGAAGCCCCGGCUAACUACGUGCCAGCAGCCGUGGUCAUACGUAGGGGGCAAGCGUUAUCCGGAUUUACUGGGCGUAAAGGGAGCGUAGACGGCAGUGCAAGUCUGGAGUGAAAGGCGGGGGCUCAACCCCCGGACUGCUCUGGAAACGGUACGGCUGGAGUGCAGGAGAGGUAAGUGGAAUUCCUAGUGUAGCGGUGAAAUGCGUAGAUAGUAGGAGGAACACCAGUGGCGAAGGCGGCUUACUGGACUGUAACUGACGUUGAGGCUCGAAAGCGUGGGGAGCAAACAGGAUUAGAUACCCCUGUAGUC